UACGUAGGUGACCAGCGUUGUCCGGAUUUACUGGGCGUAAAGAGCGCGCAGGCGGUCGUUCAAGUCGAGUGUGAAAGCCCCCGGCUCAACUGGGGAGGGUCAUUCGAUACUGAUCGACUCGAAGGCAGGAGAGGGAAGCGGAAUCCCCGGUGUAGUGGUGAAAUGCGUAGAUAUCGGGAGGAACACCAGUGGCGAAGGCGGCUUCCUGGCCUGUUCUUGACGCUGAGGCGCGAAAGCUAGGGGAGCAAACGGG
rnacentral:rRNA from 1 species